UACGUAGGGGGCAAGCGUUGUCCGGAUUUAUUGGGCGUAAAGCGCACGCAGGCGGUCUGCUUAGUUCUGAGUGACAGGUGGGGGCUCAACCCCCGCAGGCCUCGGAAACUGGCAGACUUGAGGACGAGAGAGGGAUGUGGAAUUCCAGGUGUAGCGGUGAAAUGCGUAGAUAUCGUGAGGAACACCAGAGGCGAAGGCGGCUACCUGGACAAUUGCUGACGCUCAGGCACGAAAGCGUGGGGAGCAAAAGGG
rnacentral:rRNA from 1 species